UGGUUGAGCCUUAUGGCUCCGAUACUGGGAGACGUGGUCGUAAGACUCCUCGGGAGUCAGACUCUCUUGAGGAGCGAGAAAGGAAACGGCUGCGGGACUUAUUUGCAGAACCAACUGACGAAGACUCCUUUGAGGGUUUUACCGAGGGAAUGGAGGAAGAGAUGGUUAGCUCAGAGGAGGAUGAUAUGGAAUGGACUCGUGUGAGGGAGGAUUUGGGUGCCACCGGCAAUGAUAGUAUGGGAGGCGACUGGGGAGUUGCAGGAUUAGACCCGUGGACGAGCUGGAGGGAUGGGACGGGAUCCACAGCUGGGGAUGCUGUGGGGCGUAGUCAAAGGUGUUUUAGCUCUGAUGAGGAGGAGGAUGAUGAGACACCUGGAAUUAGGGUAACAGCUGACAGCGAUGAGGAGUUGUAAACUGGUAUAAAAUGGGGUUUAGAAUCCAGGGCUAAUUGCGUUGGGCAAGGUAAUCUGGACGAACGCUUGGGCUCUUGUUGGGAAUUUCCUGAAGACGGGUGUGAUUCGUUUGCUGAAUACCUUGGACCUCCGUCGUCUUUUUGACGGACAUUAAUUGCCUACUCUGGAUUGACGCUGGACUGACUGACUGACUGCGACCUCGGACUAUCCCUUCUGUGAUUAUCGGUGGAACUGGUGAACUAAAGACGUCUGUACCUGGCCUUCGACCUUGGACCGGAUUGGGACCCCGCUGACUGCUUCUGCCCUGAUUGAUGUGUUUGAACCCGGAGUUCGCUUGCUGCACGGAGGAGUAGUAACUUAGUUAAUCAACCACAGCUGUUGAGUAGCAGAGAGUAAUCUGCUGCCAGUUAUUUAUGUUUCUUUGAAUCUUUGUUUACGAGUUUUUGUUUGUUUUAAGUGCCAGGCUGAAGUAAGCAUUUUUGGUUUAACCCGGAUUAAACUCCCGUUUAAUCCGGUUUAUCUUUUGAACUGUUUUUUAGUGUCUUUUCAUAUUGAAGGCGAGUCUUUGCCUAGCCCUUUGUCUUUUACGGGCAUUUUUGGUUCUGUAUCUUUAAUAAACUGUGUUGAAUCUUA